rnacentral:lncRNA from 1 species
AAUAGAUUAAGGGUGUUAUCUCCUUAGCAGCUUAUUUCAAAUUGCAUCAAGGCAGGGCCAUUAAACUAAGAGUAAUAACAGGAUGGAGAUGGAGUUUCAUGACAAAAAUGAAGGUGAAUAUGAUGUGGAAAAUACAAAGAUGGAAGCAACAAGCUAAGGAUGCUGGGGCAGAAAGAUGGAACCUGGGUUACUCAUGACAUCUUGAAACUGCUGCAGCCAUCCUAGACUGGCUGCCUCUAGACUUAAUAUGUUUAGAAAGUAAAUCCCAAUUUUAUUAAACUGUUAUCUGUU